rnacentral:rRNA from 1 species
AAUCAACGCUGGCGGCGCGCUUAACACAUGCAAGUCGCACGAGAAAGGGAGCAAUCCUGAGUAAAGUGGCGUACGGGUGAGUAACACGUGGGAAUCUACCUCUUGGCGGGGAAUAACCCUGGGAAACCGGGGCUAAUACCGCAUAAGCUCGUGAGAGGAAAGCAGCAAUGCACCGAGAGAGGAGCCCGCGGCCGAUUAGCUAGUUGGUGGGGUAAUGGCUCACCAAGGCGAAGAUCGGUAGCCGGCCUGAGAGGGCACACGGCCACACUGGCACUGAAACACGGGCCAGACUCCUACGGGAGGCAGCAGUGGGGAAUCUUGCACAAUGGGGGAAACCCUGAUGCAGCGACGCCGCGUGAGCGAUGAAGCCCUUCGGGGUGUAAAGCUCUUUCGACAGGAACGACAAUGACGGUACCUGGAGAAGAAGCGGCGGCUAACUACGUG